UACGGGGGGGGUAAGCGUUGUUCGGAAUUACUGGGCGUAAAGGGCUCGUAGGCGGCCAACUAAGUCAGACGUGAAAUCCCUCAGCUUAACUGGGGAACUGCGUCUGAUACUGGAUGGCUUGGAUUCGGGAGAGGGAAGCGGAAUUCCGGGUGUAGCGGUGAAAUGCGUAGAUAUCCGGAGGAACACCGGUGGCGAAGGCGGCUUCCUGGACCGACACUGACGCUGAGGCGCGAAAGCUAGGGGAGCAAACGGG
rnacentral:rRNA from 1 species